rnacentral:tRNA from 1 species
AGAGGUGGAGCUUGGCGAAGAGCACUUGCCUAGUGUGUGUGAGGCCCUGGGUUCAAUUCCCAGCACCACCA